rnacentral:rRNA from 1 species
GAUGAACGCUAGCUACAGGCUUAACACAUGCAAGUCGAGGGGCAGCGCAGUGUAGCAAUACAUGGGCGGCGACCGGCGCACGGGUGCGUAACGCGUAUCCAACCUUCCCGUUACUCAGGGAUAGCCUUCCGAAAGGGAGAUUAAUACCUGAUGGUGUUGAAAUUCCGCAUGUUAUUUCAACUAAAGAUUUAUCGGUAGCGGAUGGGGAUGCGUGACAUUAGAUAGUAGGCGGGGUAACGGCCCACCUAGUCUACGAUGUCUAGGGGUUCUGAGAGGAAGGUCCCCCACACUGGAACUGAGACACGGUCCAGACUCCUACGGGAGGCAGCAGUGAGGAAUAUUGGUCGAUGGUCGGAAGACUGAACCAGCCAAGUAGCGUGAAGGAUGAAGGUUCUAUGGAUUGUAAACUUCUUUUAUACGGGAAUAAAACCUCCCACGUGUGGGAGCUUGUAUGUACCGUAUGAAUAAGCAUCGGCUAACUCCGUGCCAGCAGCCGCGGUAAGAC